GACGAACGCUGGCGGCGUGCUUAACACAUGCAAGUCGAACGGAAAGGCCCUGCUUUUGUGGGGUGCUCGAGUGGCGAACGGGUGAGUAACACGUGAGUAACCUGCCCUUGACUUUGGGAUAACUUCAGGAAACUGGGGCUAAUACCGGACAGGAUCUCCUGCUGCAUGGUGGGGGUUGGAAAGUUUCGGCGGUUGGGGAUGGACUCGCGGCUUAUCAGCUUGUUGGUGGGGUAGUGGCUUACCAAGGCUUUGACGGGUAGCCGGCCUGAGAGGGUGACCGGCCACAUUGGGACUGAGAUACGGCCCAGACUCCUACGGGAGGCAGCAGUGGGGAAUAUUGCACAAUGGGCGGAAGCCUGAUGCAGCAACGCCGCGUGCGGGAUGACGGCCUUCGGGUUGUAAACCGCUUUCGCCUGUGACGAAGCGUGAGUGACGGUAAUGGGUAAAGAAGCACCGGCUAACUACGUG
rnacentral:rRNA from 1 species